AGUGAACGCUGGCGGCAGGCCUAACACAUGCAAGUCGAGCGGCAGCGCGGGGGCAACCCUGGCGGCGAGCGGCGGACGGGUGAGGAAUUCGUCGGAAUCUGCCUUUUUGUGGGGGAUAACGUAGGGAAACUUACGCCAAUACCGCAUACGUCCUACGGGAGAAAGUGGGGGACCGCAAGGCCUCACGCAGAAAGAUGAGCCGACGACCGAUUAGCUAGUUGGUGGGGUAAAGGCCCACCAAGGCGACGAUCGGUAGCUGGUCUGAGAGGAUGAUCAGCCACACUGGGACUGAGACACGGCCCAGACUCCUACGGGAGGCAGCAGUGGGGAAUAUUGGACAAUGGGCGCAAGCCUGAUCCAGCCAUGCCGCGUGUGUGAAGAAGGCCUUCGGGUUGUAAAGCACUUUUGUCCGGAAAGAAAUCCCUGGAGCUAAUACCUUCGGGGGAUGACGGUACCGGAAGAAUAAGCACCGGCUAACUUCGUG
rnacentral:rRNA from 1 species